rnacentral:rRNA from 1 species
UACGUAGGGGGCGAGCGUUGUCCGGAUUCAUUGGGCGUAAAGCGCUUUAAGGCGGUUCGGUAAGUCGGGUGUGAAACCUCCAGGCUCAACCUGGAGACGCCACUCGAUACUGCUGUGACUAGAGUUCGGUAGGGGAUCACGGAAUUCCUGGUGGUAGCGGUGAAAUGCGCAGAUAUCAGGAGGAACACCGGUGGCGAAGGCGGUGAUCUGGGCCGACACUGACGCUGUAGGGCGAAAGCGUGGGGAGCGAACAGG